CCCGGCCGCGCCCGGGAGCACGGCGGCGCCCGGCCCGGUGCGACGGGCACGGAUACUUCUGGGUGAUCCCCCGCAGGUUCGAAUCCUGCUGCCGGUCCC
rnacentral:tRNA from 1 species